GGACAUUCCCAGUCAGUUGUCAACAGGAGCCCCUCUCCAACUACUCUCACCUAAAUCUCUUAAUGGUCCCGUGUGGAGGAUGGAUGUGUCAGAGAUGUCCAUCAUCCAAUUGCGUGCGAGGUAGAGCGAUUUCCUGUGGCGGACCAGCAAGCCGCAGCUCUGUAAUCAUGCGGGGCAUUGCUGGUGCAGAUUAUGCACUGGGGCCUGGGUCACGAGAAGCACUCAGGUGCACUGACAUACUUAUAAAACUGACAUACGAUGCGCCCUGUCAGAAAGGAGGGGGACGAGGAAGACUAUGAGCAGGAAAGACGGGGCGGGAAACUCACACUGGGGGUGUCGACGGCAUCUGCGAUCCCAGAGGUCAGCUUCAGAGAAGAUCAGGGUCUGCCUCCGGUGCUAAAGCAGAUCUUCAACCAGACCCAAAACAGUUUCCCUCUCAAACACUUAAAACUAUCACAGAACUAGCUAG